UACGUAGGGGGCUAGCGUUGUCCGGAAUCAUUGGGCGUAAAGAGCGCGUAGGCGGCCCUGUAAGUCCGCUGUGAAAGUCAAGGGCUCAACCCUUGAAUGCCGGUGGAUACUGCAGGGCUAGAGUCCGGAAGAGGAGAAUGGAAUUCCCGGUGUAGCGGUGAAAUGCGCAGAUAUCGGGAAGAACACCCGUGGCGAAGGCGGUUCUCUGGGACGGUACUGACGCUGAGACGCGAAAGCGUGGGGAGCGAACAGG
rnacentral:rRNA from 1 species